UGUUUGUUCCGUCGAGAGCAGAGAUGGGAGAUAAGGAGCCAAACCCUAGAUCUAUUCUCAACUGAUAUCUCCACCAUCUUUCUCAACAAAUCCACGAAUUUUCACCUCCAUCAUCACUCUCAUCUCUUUCAAAUCAACUAAAAGCUUCUUUUAGAAUCAUCAUCAUCUUCAGGUGUGCUGGAGGGAGAAAUAUUUCUUCAGAACUUACCUAGCAUUGUCAAUGCACAUGCCCUAGAUUCCCAACCAGGUGAUCGUGUAAUGGAUAUGUGUGCUGCUCCAGGAGGGAAAUCAACUGCACUAGCCAUUCUUAUGAGGGAUGAAGGAGAAAUUGUUGUUGCUGAUAGAUCUCACAACAAGAUAUACAUACCCCUACUAGAAUAAUAUGAGAAUGAUACAUUUGAUAUGAAUGAGACACAGGUGGAAGUGGAAGUGGAAGUGGAAGUGGAAGUGGAAGUGGAAAUGGAAGCGGAAGCGGAAACGGAAGAAAAUGCACCUUGUCUGUUUGGACUACAAGAGCAGAUAUAUAUGAACAACUUACGUGAUGACAUAGCUAGUCUCCUUUAGAUUUUGUUGCUUCUUUUAUGUUUAUAGGAAUGAAAUCUUUAGAUUUUAUUGUUUUGUAAUGUUUAACUCCAUCAAAAAGGGGAGUUGUUUAGACUGAAAUGGAACAAUCUAUGACUCAGAUCCAGACGAUUCAAAUGAGUCAGCUGCAAACAAACAAGGUGUUAGUCUGGGUUGGAUUAUAUGGCACAUGACUUAGGCAGGUUCAUGUGCGACUAAAUUUGAUUUAGUCGAAGUAGUUUGUUUUUUUUUUCCUUUUUUCAGUACAAGAGUCCAAGAAGUUAUGUGUCCAGCAUUAUGCAUUUGAACACUGCAGACGUCAAUUAUUAAGUUUUGUAAUAGUAUAGCUUAGUCACACGUGGUGGAUUAGCUUUGAUGGAAA